rnacentral:lncRNA from 1 species
CUGUCUGUUUUACCUCCACCGUGAUCUGCUGCAACGGCGGCGAAUGGUGGCAGUGAUCUCCUGGACCGACUGAACUUGACGCCGGACGAAGGUUGAGGUCGCUGACCUAGCGACGAUGAAGAAGGUCUGGAGACUGCUAUGGUGAAGUGGGCGGUGAUCGAGAAGGUGUUCUCCCCCCAUCGAAACUGCACAUCACGAUAAUCGACCUACCUUUUUUCAUGGAGAUUGUCAUCAUCAUGUGCUGGAGUAUCUGGAAAGUUAGAAAUGUUAGAAAUGACCUCAUUUUCAGAGGUGAAGCAGCGUCCUUGGAAAAGUGCAAAGCAGUCUUCAAAAAGUGCUUCGGUCUGGUUAUCCUACGAGCGAAGAGGAGAUAUCUGCCAACCAUUUCUCUAUGGCUAGAGCUCCUUGUGUGAUUAGUUUAAUCUUUUUUGUUUCCUUUUUUGUUUCUUAAUUUGUUUCUUUGGGACCGCCCCCUCUCUUUUGUAAUCGGUUACUUGGUUUUGUUUUUUCAAUAAAUUCAGUAGAGGCGCUCGCCUCUCCUGUUUCCUCAAAAAAAAAUCCGGAACGCGAAAAGCCGGCUUGGGGCAAUCGUUUUGGCCUCAAGUUUCAGUCAGUAGCCCUAUUCUAAAUAGCACGCUAUAGCACUAUUUAGCGUUUCUGGAAGAG